GGGGGUGUAGCUCAGUGGUAGAGCAUUCGACUGCAGAUCGAGAGUUCCCCAGUUCAAUCCCGGGCGCCCCCU
rnacentral:tRNA from 1 species